GGGGAAUUUUGGACAAUGGGCGCAAGCCUGAUCCAGCAAUGCCGCGUGGGUGAAGACGGCCUGCGGGUUGUAAAGCCCUUUGGGUGGGGAAGACGGUGAUUGGAGCGAAUACCUCCGAUGGCUGACGUUACCCACGGAACAAGCACCGGCCAACUCCGUGCCAGCAGCCGCGGUAAUACGGAGGGUGCAAGCGUUAAUCGGACUUACUGGGCGUAAAGCGCGCGUAGGCGGUAGUACACGUCAGUGGUGAAAGCCCCGGGCUCAACCUGGGAACGGCCGCUGAGACGGUGCUACUCGAGUGCAGGCGAGGGGGGUGGAAUUCCCGGUGUAGCGGUGAAAUGCGUAGAGAUCGGGAGGAACAUCGAUGGCGAAGGCAGCCCUCUGGACUGACACUGACGCUGAGGUGCGAAAGCGUGGGGAGCAAAC
rnacentral:rRNA from 1 species